rnacentral:rRNA from 1 species
AUGUGGGAAACCACGAUGCGGGAAGCCCAAGUGCCAGCGCUAUGCGUUGGCUGUCCUCAACCGUUCAUUGGUUGGGAAGAAAGUGCUGGGUAAGACGGGUGCCAGCCGCCGCGGUAAUACCCGCAGCACAAGUGGUGGUCAUUAUUAUUGGGCCUAAAGCGUCCGUAGCUUGCGUGUUAGAUGCCUGGGUAAAUCGAUGGGCUUAACCCAUCGAAUUCCGGGUAGACCGGCACGCUCGAGACCGGGAGAGGUGUAGGCUACUCGAGGGGUAGGGGUAAAAUCCUGUAAUCCUUCGGGGAGGACCAGUGGCGAAGGCGCUACACUAGAACGGCCCUGACAGUGAGGGACGAAGCCCUGGGGCGCAAACCGGAUUAGAUACCCGGGUAGUCC